rnacentral:rRNA from 1 species
UACGGGGGGGGGCAAGCGUUGUUCGGAAUUACUGGGCGUAAAGGGCGCGUAGGCGGCCCUUCUAAGUCGAACGUGAAAUCCCCGGGCUCAACCCGGGAACUGCGUCCGAUACUGGAAGGCUUGAAUCCGGGAGAGGGAUGCGGAAUUCCAGGUGUAGCGGUGAAAUGCGUAGAUAUCUGGAGGAACACCGGUGGCGAAGGCGGCAUCCUGGACCGGCAUUGACGCUGAGGCGCGAAAGCCAGGGGAGCAAACGGG